rnacentral:lncRNA from 1 species
UAGAAAAAAAGUAUGCCAAUCUCACUAAAGGUAGAUUUCUCAUGAGAUGAGGGUAGAUGAGGGAAGGACAGUUGUUAAACUGCACAGUGUUAUCUGCCAUUGAUCAGUUCAAAGAGGUGAGGAUACCCCAAACCCAGGGAUAGUUGCUAUUACAGGUUCAGUGUGUGUCCUUCUGAGUCAUGAUGCCUUCCACCACCAAGCCUUCAGUAACAAUGUUCAUCACACAGCUUGUGUCCAGAUCCAUCAGAAGAGUAAAGGAUGUCCUGAACCGGUGCCCGGUGUGGAAAAUGGACAGAUAAGCAAGAGGCGUUUAAUGCAGACCAAGCUUUCAUCAGAAAAAGAAAUCACAGCCAGCAAUGAUUCAUAGAAACGGAGACCUCCCAGAAUCCCUGGAGCUACUUCGAAGGAUAUUGGGUUUCUGAUCAUACAGGGGUUGAUGGCAUCUCAUUUGAGACCGGCCGAAUUUCAGCAGUCACUCAUGCCUAGGUGUGGGACAGUGGAGGUUCAGAAAACUGCCAAAGGGCUCCUCAAGCCUCUUAUUUUACAGAUGAAGGAGAAAGUAUUUGCUGGAUUGAAAUACUCAGUGGAUGUCAGUUCUCAGUUUCCAGUGAGAAACUGGGGACAGAAGAAGACCCUCACAGUCUCCUUUUGCAGGCAUCCUCCUCAGUGGCCAGCACACAAGGAGUCCAGAGAAUGUACCUGGUUGGGCAUUAAAUCAUUAAUUCUAGCAUCGAGGAAAAGGAUAUUGUUAAAAAAUAAAUUGUCGUUUUGUUUUGUUUUUCUGAAGAGCACCAUCUCGACCAAGAUCUCAAGACAGAGUAGGCAAAGGAUACUCGGAAAUGAACGUCCAAACCCACUCACGUUAGCUAAUUCCUUAUUUGACUUUUUCCGAAUUCCUGAAGGUUAGAUAGUCCUUAGGGAAGGGGGGCGGGGGCGGGGGCGGGGG